AACUCUUAGCGGUGGAUCACUCGGCUCGUGCGUCGAUGAAGGACGCAGCUAGCUGCGAGAACUAAUGUGAAUUGCAGGACACAUUGAUCAUCGACACUUCGAACGCACUUUGCCUUUGCGGCCCCGGGUCCGUCCCGGGGCCACGCCUGUCUGAGCGUCG